AGAACGAACGCUGGCGGCACGCCUAACACAUGCAAGUCGAACGCAAACCUUCGGGUUUGAGUGGCGAACGGGUGAGUAACACGUGGGAAUCUACCUGAUAGUGGGGGACAACUGUUGGAAACGACAGCUAAUACCGCAUACGCCAAGAGUUAAAUUUUGGGAAAGAUUUAUCGCUAUCAGAAGAGCCCGCGGCAGAUUAGGUAGUUGGUAGGGUAAUGGCCUACCAAGCCGAUGAUCUGUAGCUGGUCUGAGAGGAUGACCAGCCACACUGGGACUGAGACACGGCCCAGACUCCUACGGGAGGCAGCAGUGGGGAAUCUUGGACAAUGGGGGAAACCCUGAUCCAGCGAUGCCGCGUGAAUGAAGAAGGCCCUUGGGUUGUAAAGUUCUUUCACCUGUGACGAUAAUGACGGUAACAGGAGAAGAAGCCCCGGCUAACUCCGCGCCAGCAGCCGC
rnacentral:rRNA from 1 species